UACAGAAGACGCGUGUGUUCGUGCUGUCCUUUUCCCCCAUUGUAACCCACAUCACUGCCCAAAUCGGCACAAACGCUCUCCAAUCAUCGCUCACCACCGUUCUGCCCCAAAUCGACGUCGGUGACAUAACACUACAACACCACAAGCCAAGCGGUGGUUUUUUCCAGGCUAUUAGGGCUCCAACAGUAAGAAGACGGAGGCGGCGCGAGGCACCCGUUUAACACCGACAAGAAUUUUGGUAAGCCGAGCUUCUAUUGUAUGUUUCUUUUUUAGUUAGAUCGGUUUUCAUUGUUUCCGUUUAAGCUAUUUUUUGUGUUACAACUCCGGUGAAGAUCCGGCGAGUUAUCCAGUGACCAGUCUCCUGGUUGUUAUGUAAGUUUGAUAUGUUGUUUGCUAUGUUCCUCCUUGUUUAAACACAAAUAUAAUCAUAAACAAUUAAGCCCACAAAUAUACAAAUGCAAUAAAAUUUAAGCCCAUGUUAAAUCACGAAUUGUUUAAGCUAUUUUAAAUUUAAUAUAGAGGUGUGAAAUCGAGUUUUUCUAAUACCCAGUUUCAGGUAUGAAACUGGAUUCGGAUAUGACCAGGUAUCGAUUUUUUAGGUAUUGAAAUAAACCAAGUAGGGUUCGGGGGUGCAGGUAUUGAGUAGAACUACCCAACCUUAUGUACCCGGGUAGGGUAUCAUCGGGUUCGAGUAUAACCGAUUAUUAAAACCAGGUAUGGAUUCAGGUAUUAAUACGCUUCUUUUUAAAAAGGUUUGUUUUUAUUAUUUUAUACAAAAAUAAGUUUGUUUAUAAUUUGUAAAAAUAAUUAAAAUAUAUCAUAAUAACAUAGAUUCACUCAAUUACAAUUUGUUGAUUUUAUAAUAUGCACUUUUUAAAAUUAAAAUAUCAAAGUUGUUAAAUAGACAUAAAAAUAGAUGCAGGCGAACUGGUAGUACACUACAUGCCCCGUUUGCUUCAGAACAAUUUACACAAGUGGUUACACAAGUGGUGACAAAUGGGCGUGCCCCUCUUACUAUGACACACCCAAGUACAUGUACCGUGUUGUCGCAACCAUUAAAGAUAGCACAGGCGCUACUGCUCUUGCAACUAUGUUCAACGACGCAUUUAAAGCUAUUUCAUGGUUGUCCUGAUUCCCGUCAUUCUACUAGUGGUUACUGUGUUUUUCUGGUCGACACUCUUAUUUUGUGGUCAACUAAGAGGCAACCCACUAUUUCCCGUUCUAGUGCUGAGGCAGAGUAUCGUGGGGUUGCAAAUGUUGUGGCUGAAACCACUUGGACAGGCAUCCGUAAUUUACAGUGAUAAUGUUUCGGUUGUCUACAUGUCCGAUAACCCGUUCAACAUCAACGCACGGAACAUACUGAGAUAGACAUUCAUUUUGUUCGUGAGAAGGUAUCAUUGGGCAGAUUCGUGUUCUUCAUGUACCUUCAACUCUACAGUAUGCAGAUAUUUUUACUAAGGGGCUUGCUCGCCAGCUUUUUCAGUCUUUUCGCUCCAGCUUGAGCGUCUGUCCACCGCCCGCUCAAACUACGGGGGAGUCUUAGCCGAUAUAUGUUUAUAGAAUAACAUUUAAUUUAAUAUUGUAUAGAUAGACGUGAUCUCUUGUAAUUAUAAAUGGAUUAUGUUUCCUUGUUUAGAGA